UACGGAGGGUGCAAACGUUGAUCGGAAUUACUGGGCGUAAAGCGCACGUAGGCGGGUCGUUAAGUGGGGUGUGAAAGCCCUUGGCUCAACCGGGGAACUGCAUUCCAAACUGACGGACUAGAGGGUGGUAGAGGGGGGUGGAACUCGAGGUGUAGCGGUGAAAUGCGUAGAUAUCGGGGGGAAUACCGGUGGCGAAGGCGGCUCGCUGGACCGAUUCUGACGCUGAUGCGCGAAAGCGUGGGGAGCAAACAGG
rnacentral:rRNA from 1 species